rnacentral:rRNA from 1 species
AUUGACGAUGGAUCACCAGUGAGUGGCGGACGGGUGAGUAACACGUAGGUAACCUGCCCCGGAGCGGGGGAUAACAUUUGGAAACAGAUGCUAAUACCGCAUAACAACAAAAGCCACAUGGCUUUUCUUUGAAAGAUGGCUUUGGCUAUCACUCUGGGAUGGACCUGCGGUGCAUUAGCUAGUUGGUAAGGUAACGGCUUACCAAGGCGAUGAUGCAUAGCCGAGUUGAGAGACUGAUCGGCCACAAUGGAACUGAGACACGGUCCAUACUCCUACGGGAGGCAGCAGUAGGGAAUCUUCCACAAUGGGCGCAAGCCUGAUGGAGCAACACCGCGUGAGUGAAGAAGGGUUUCGGCUCGUAAAGCUCUGUUGUUGGAGAAGAACGUGCGUGAGAGUAACUGUUCACGCAGUGACGGUAUCCAACCAGAAAGUCACGGCUAACUACGUGCCAGCAGCCGCGGUAAUACGUAGGUGGCAAGCGUUAUCCGGAUUUAUUGGGCGUAAAGCGAGCGCAGGCGGUUGCUUAGGUCUGAUGUGAAAGCCUUCGGCUUAACCGAAGAAGUGCAUCGGAAACCGGGCGACUUGAGUGCAGAAGAGGACAGUGGAACUCCAUGUGUAGCGGUGGAAUGCGUAGAUAUAUGGAAGAACACCAGUGGCGAAGGCGGCUGUCUGGUCUGCAACUGACGCUGAGGCUCGAAAGCAUGGGUAGCGAACAGGAUUAGAUACCCUGGUAGUCCAUGCCGUAAACGAUGAGUGCUAGGUGUUGGAGGGUUUCCGCCCUUCAGUGCCGGAGCUAACGCAUUAAGCACUCCGCCCUGGGGAGUAC